rnacentral:siRNA from 1 species
GCAGCCACAAUCUAUGUUCUGC